rnacentral:rRNA from 1 species
CUAAACCCUCGUACCUUUUGCAUCAUGAUUUAGCCAGUGAUUCUCAAGCAAAAAGAUUUUUAGUUUGUAGACCCGAAACUAAGGGAGCUACUCCAAGACAGCCUAAUAAUAGGGCACACCCGUCUCUGUUGCAAAAGAGUGGGACGAGCUUUGAGUAGAGGUGACAAACCUACCGAACUUAGUUAUAGCUGGUUGCCCAAGAAAUGAAUAGUAGUUCAGCCUCCCGGAUUCUCCCUAAGCCGUGAGAGUUAUUCAAAGGGGGUACAGCCCCUUUGAAACAAGACACAACUUUCCCAGGUGGGUAAAGAUCAUAAUAGCACAAGGUAAGUAACUCUCGUGGGCCCGAAAGCAGCCACCCCCUGAAGAAAGCGUCUAAGCUCGGAACAAUAAUCCUGAUCAUUUAAUCUUAUCCCCCUAAACUUAUUGGGCCGUCCCAUGCCUCCAUGGGAGCGACCAUGCUAAUAUGAGUAAUAAGAAAGGGCUUUCUCCCCGCACGCGUGUAAAUCGGAAUGGACUCCCCACCGAAUAUUAACGGCCCCAAACACAGAGGGCAGUGGACGAUAACAAGAAAAUCCCCCACCGUUAACCCAACACAGGUCUGCCCCUAGGGAAAAACUAAAAGGGGGAGAAGGAACUCGGCAAACAAGCCUCGCCUGUUUACCAAAAACAUCGCCUCUUGCAUGAAUAAGAGGUCCCGCCUGCCCUGUGACUAUAAGUUUAACGGCCGCGGUAUUUUGACCGCGCGAAGGUAGCGCAAUCACUUGUCUCUUAAAUGGAGACCUGUAUGAAUGGCACAACGAGGGCUUAGCUGUCUCCUCCCCUAAGUUAAUGAAAUUGAUCUCCCCGUGCAGAAGCGGGGAUAAACACAUAAGACGAGAAGACCCUAUGAAGCUUUAGACGUAAGGUAGCCCAAACUACAAUGACCCCCCAAUAAGGAGACAAACCAAAAGGGGCCCUACCCCGAUGUCUUUGGUUGGGGCGACCGCGGGGAAAGAAAAAACCCCCACGUGGAACGGGAGUACUCCUUAAACUCAGAGCCACAGCUCUAAGAAACAAAAUUUUUGACCUUAAGAUCCGGCAAUGCCGAUCAACGGACCGAGUUACUCUAGGGAUAACAGCGCAAUCCCCUUUUAGAGACCAUAUCAACAAGGGGGUUUACGACCUCGAUGUUGGAUCAGGACAUCCUAUUGGUGCAG